GGGUGUUGUUCCUGAGAUUGAGAAUCCAGUACCACUUUAUUGUGACAAUACUGGAGUUGUUGCUCAAGAAAAAGAAUCAAGAUCUCAUCAUAAAUCCAAGCAUAUUUUAAGGUGCUUCCAUCUCGUUCGUGAGAUUGUCGAAAGAUAAGAUGUAGUCAUUGAACGAGUAGAUACAAAGAACAACAUAGCAUAUUCAUUCACUA
rnacentral:lncRNA from 1 species